UGUUUCUACAGAAGUCACUUGAUACGAACAGACAGACAGGUGGAAAAGGCAGAGAUGAUGCCAAAUAUGAUUGCUGCGGUAACGGGACUAAUGUUUAUCAUGCCUGCUGUAUAUAGUGCAUUUACCGAAGAACAUUCCAAAACGAUGCCGAAGGAAAACAUUUUUGAAUUCGCAUCAUCGCGUAACAUGCUUGGAGUAGAUUACGAUGACAAAAGAGGGUUUUGGGACAAAAGAGGUUAUG